rnacentral:lncRNA from 1 species
GCCUUAGCGAGGCCAUGGGGGAAAAAGUCUAACUGGCGGAACUCCUGGGAACUGGGGCGAUGGGCUCUUAGUAUCGGAGGAUUGGAGCCAUCUGAUUUUUACCUGAAAUUCCUUAGUCUCUCCUGUGUUGGGGAAAUGGUCACCUUGCCUUCAGGGACCUGGGCUUUCAGCUGUCCAUACCUGGCCCUGGUUGAUGGCGGCAUGCUGGGCAGUGCACGUGAAGACGCACAUGAGACCGGGACUUGCUGUGUUGCCCAGGCUGGUCUUGAACUCCUGGUCUUAAGCAAUCAUACUGCUUUGGCCACCCAAAGCACUGGGAUUACAGGCGUGAACCACCACACCCAGCUCUUAAAACCACAGUAUUUCUAGAUUAAUAAGUACCUUGAAGAUGGGGUGCAGUCCUGGGAGGCACCGCAUGGUGGCGACAGCGAUGACCUCAGCCACCAGGUGAGUGUUCAGCAAGUGAUACUGGAUCUCGUGCAGUUGGAAAUCUGAAUUUCGGACCCAGGACUUUGCCAGGAGCCAG